UUCAUGGUGAAGAGCAUAGUGCCUGGGGUUGCCGCACUGGAUUUGGAGCAGAGGCAACGUAACUCUUGGAGUUUGUAGCUUCCUUGCCAUUGCCCACGCUUGCCUGGCAGGUUGGAGCUUGUGUGUGCACGUGAGCCAAGGGGCUGCUUUGGUGGUCACCAAAGCUGGGCAAAUGCCAGGGAGAGGUGGCCGGCCAUGCUUGCAACUGACAGUCCCACUGGCCAGCCGGGGUCCCCAUCCCUCCUGUGGCCCUUAUGAGGCUGGGGCAGCUGAUUGAUGCCGGUCUGGGGAUUCUGAUCUUGUGUCCUGCAGAGGAGGUGAGAACAUGAGAUUGGGGGUAGAUCUCUGUUUGAAUUUCAGCUGUGCCUCAGAUAUGACCUUGGGAAGUCAAUUUCUUUGAACUUUGUUUUCCUUGUCUGUAGGAUAUUUUCCAUAGAUGAUUGUGAUUUACACCUUGCGGGCGUUAAAUUAGACCAUAAAUGCAAGGUUGGCCAAUCCUGAGCACACUGUACUCUUUAGCUGUGAUUAGCUCUUAUCAGGGGUAAUUGACCAGUUUGCCUGGGUCCUUCUCUGUGGCUCUUGAUGUACUCAGUGACGUAAAUCCCUCCGGAAGGAAGAAAGAAGGAACAAAUACUAACAGCCACCUCCACCUUGUGGCUUUAAUUUCAGUGGUUGGGUUAUUUUGUUCAUGGUUAUAGAAGUUUAGUUUCUGGGGGACUUGGGGGGCCUUUUGGUAAAAGAAAGCCCCCAAUAUGGCAAUAUUUCCUCUGGGUGGAGAACACUCAGGAGGGAGAGCUCUCAGCACAAAGGAUGUGACCGUUAACAUCUCUGACUUGACCCCACUGACCCCCUCUAGUGCUGGAGUGUCCACACAGAGCAGACCAUGACCCAAAGUCCACUGAACCUGCAGAGGUGGUGCCGGCACAUUGCCCCAAGUCCACUGACAGACAUCAGGGAAAUAAACUAGAGAAUCUGUUCUUAUUCUAGAGGUCCUCCCGAUGUGCUCGGUACCUGGUGGCGGGGCUGAGGAAUGGUCUCUUCCUUCUGAUGACAGCACUCUCAACAGCCUCCAUGGACAGGCAGAAAUGAACCGGGAAUGGAUCCACUCCAGUGGCCUGCUGCACUUGACAGCUCUUGGCGUGGUCCCAUCUUGGGCACCACGGACCCACCAACAAGAUUGCAAGAGACAAACACAUAUGUGGCCUACACAAGAGGGAAUACCAGGGCUCCUCGUCUAUCACCGGACUCCCCCUAAAUCACGAGAGCAUACAGGCCAAGACUGCCUGUUUUCAAAGGAACUUCAUGCCACAGUCCAAGCAAACUUACAAGGAUCAUUCUAGCGG